CGAGAGGCAGCGGGAGGGAAGCCCUGGCGCGGUCGUCGGGUCGGGUGGUGCCGCUGGUGCUGCCGCCACGGCCGCCGCCGCCGGGAAUCACACGGGCUCCUCGGUCCCAGGCUGCAGCUCUUGUUGCCAUGAUGAUGAUGUCACGGACGCAACCACUGGGGGAGGGGAGGAGGGGUGUGUGUGUGAGUGUGUGUGUGUGUGUGUGUGUGUGGAAGUGUGCGCGCGAGGGUGCCGACGGGCGGGUAGCGGCGGGUGGGCGCCCGCGCCCCGGCGGGGACCCGGUUAAGGGGCGAGGAGGGGGUUCACCCCCGGGCCUGGAGCGCGCGGCUUCGGGAGAGGCUGGCGGGAAGCCGGGCCGCGCGGCGCGCGCCGGGGAAUCGAUGAUUCGGCCUGGGGGCCGGGUCACUGCGGCGGGGCCGGGGGAGCGCCGAUGUCAUGGAUAGGCUCCGAGGGGCGCGGGGCUUUGGCGGCUCCUCGCGCUCUCCUCGCCCACCGCCAUUUCACAUCCUCCUAGAGGAGGCGGGGAGGCGGCCGCGGACAGGAUUUUUAACCGCCCCCUCCCCCCCCGUACAAGGUCAAGACAUAAGAACUGUCAUCUCCUUCCCUAGCACCAUGUCUGCCUGCAUGCUGCCUUGCUUCUCACCAUGACAAUAAUGAACUAAACCUCUGAACUUUUGUCUGCAGCUACAAAAUGGGAUACACUGUGCAGCAUGCUCUUCAGCUCAGCUGGCUGGGAGGCAGAAGUCGUCUCUCGGGUGGCCGAGGCUGUGUGAGCUCCUGCUCGCCUCCCUGAGCCCGCGGAUAAGUGAGAGGGCUCGCUCUGUGUUCUGUUCAUGUGACUCUCACCCUGUUGUGGCCUGUCCUCCAGUCCCUGACACAAGGCAAGUCCAGGCUGAUGUAGAAAGUCCCUACUCAGCUAGCCAUGACUUUGGAAAAAGCCCCUGACCUCUGAGUGGACAGAAGACCUGGAUGUCAGCGCGUGGGAGCCCUGGAGCCUGCAUUGCUGGGACAGCUCCAAAAGACUAUGAAGCACAGGCUUGUCAUACCUGGAGAAUAAGAGCAUGCCUGCCACACUGUGGCCCUCUCUGCGGGAAGGGAGAGGCUAGGAGGAAACCUGGUGGGUGGGGUUAUGCAUGGGACUCCUUGAAUUCUCAGGGCAGAUGCCAGGCUGAGCUUAGAGACUAUGAUAGGGCGGGGCCUCCAUGCUGAGGGUGAGCAGAUUCUCCCUUGCUCUACCAGGAGGAAAGAAAGAACUAUCAGAAUUGUGAGUCUGUGGCCCUUGACAGAGCCGUUUCACCUCUGCAGAGAAGUGUGCACAUGGUGCCAAACGAAAUCUGUAAAGACAAGGGAUGCAGCAAAGACUCGAGACAGAAUGACUCUGGGUUCAAAAUGCAUUGUGUAUCUGGACAAUGAAUACGCUGUCUUUUCACAAAUAAUGGGGAAGUGCCACGCGAACUGAAGUGGAAACAGCUCUGAAUGUAUUAGAUUUUUUUUUUAAAUAAAAGAGCCACAUGGCUGUCUGUGAUGUAAGGCUGUACAUGUGUGUCAUCUCCUAGAAACUAGAAUAGUAGUCAUCUCUAGGCAGGGAGCAGGGGGAUUCACUUUCCAGAACGUCCUGAGCCUUUCCUAAUGUGUACCGAGUGUGUAUCUGUCUACUAGAAUCUUUGUUAGAACACCAUUGACCUGGUGUUCACAAUGGUUAAGAACCAAUGCCAACCGUGACUCCCACUCCACCUCCAGAAGCCCGUGAACUCCCCAGAAUACAAAAGACAAAACAGAGUGCCUAUUGGCUGGCUGAGCUGCAAACAGAGGCUAGGUACCGAACAACUGCCAGAGUGAAUGGCCGCUACAAUGAACGGCCACGGUCAGGAACCAUAGACCCUCUGUUCCAGCUCCAGAGACAGCAGCCUUCCUCAUGGAAGUCUCGCUCACCCACUUCGGGCCGAGAACUGCAAUUGCUGUGUUUCCAGCUCUUGUGUUUGGAUUCCCUGUUCUUUUUUCUUUUUGUGAGAGAGGGUAUCACUGUGCCAGUCUUAUCCGUGACUGCCCUGGAACUACACAUAGACCAGGUUGGCCUUGAUGUGUAGCCUCUGCCUCCUGAGUGUGUGUGUGGGGGGGGGCUGUUUUCUUUUUUAUGUGUAUGAGUGUUUUGCCUGCCUAUAUGUUUGGCACCACACCUGUGUCUGGUGCCCUGGAAGGUCAGAAGAGGACAAUGGAUCCCCUGGAACUCGAGUUACAGGCGAUGGAGAGCUACCAUGUAGGUACUGAGAACUGAUUGGGUCCUCUAUAAGGGCAGCAGCCUCUGAUCACUGAGCCAUCUCCCCAGCCCUCCUCAUUCUCCUCUGUCAGUUUCUCCAUCUCUCCCCAAACCUCUGGCUUUCCUCUUCCCCUCCCAGGUCCGAGGCUGUGUCGUCUACUCUCCCCCAGCCCCCAGCAGGACCAGCUUUGCAGUCAAGACACUCCCCACCCAGGAUGUGUGCCCCUGGUUCUCUUUCCAGAAUUGCUCACACUCCUUCCUCCCGCCUUUCUCUGCACACAGCCCUGGCACUCGGCUCAGAUCUUCCCUACCGUAUCAUCGCGCACCUUCACUCACCAGAGUCCUAGAAAGGAGCUCAUUGGUCUCCACAGACCUCUGUGAUCUCACCAGGACCUUGCUCCCUCUGGUCACCCUAGCCUCCCCUCUAGCAUUCCAUCAGAUGGCUUCCUUCCCCCGCCCCCUUGCUGUUUGAAACCCAAGGCUCCCCCAGGACACAAGUUAACAGACCUAAGGUCAUGGUCAUGCUCACAGUUCGCCGUGGCUCUGACUUACAGGUGGUUUUGCCCUGAAUCAACACGUAUUUCUCAGGUGUGAGCUAUGCUCAGAACUUAACUCCUUCUGGAUGCAGACAUCUGGAUUGUGGCUGCUUCCCUACCAGCUGUGUAAUUAAAUGUUAUGACCAUGACAAAGUUACUUCUCCAUGUGUCAUUUUUCUAAUCUACAAAAAGGAAGGACUAGCAACUCUAUCCCAUAGGGGUGAUACAAGGCUAAAAAGUAUAGCAUGCCCAAUGCCGAGCCUGAUCCACAUCCAAUUCUUAAGUUAUUUUUAUCCCAGCGAGAGACUUGGCUUUGGAAUAGUUUUUCUAGAUGCCAUCCCGCACAGGUGUACCAGCUACAGAGUGUCAUCCGAUCCUAGUGUAUGGGGACCGUAGCUGUGUAACCAGCGAGUGUACACGAGAGGACUCCACAUUUGAUUCAUGGCAGCUCACCUGGUCCUGGGCCACAGGCAGAGUGAGAGUCCCAUUCUGCUGUUCCUCCAUGAAACACAUUAAAGAACUUUGCGAAAGCCACACAGGAGAUUGGUGAAGGCAAACCUGCCUAAGGCUCUAUCUCCCCGCAGAUAGAAUGGUGGAAACAAGCCAUUGAGAUCCGUGCUUGGCACAUUUUCCCUACAAAGGACCAAAUAGCACAUCCUUUCUGGUUUAUGGUUCAUAUGGUGUCUCUUUCUUGU